rnacentral:rRNA from 1 species
UACGUAGGGUGCAAGCGUUGUCCGGAAUUAUUGGGCGUAAAGAGCUCGUAGGCGGUGUGUCGCGUCGGCCGUGAAAACCUGCAGCUUAACUGUGGGCUUGCGGUCGAUACGGGCAUCACUGGAGUUCGGCAGGGGAGACUGGAAUUCCUGGUGUAGCGGUGGAAUGCGCAGAUAUCAGGAGGAACACCGGUGGCGAAGGCGGGUCUCUGGGCCGACAUUGACGCUGAGGAGCGAAAGCGUGGGGAGCGAACAGG